AUUGAACGCUGGCGGAAUGCUUUACACAUGCAAGUCGAACGGUAGAGGGGGCAACCCCUUGAGAGUGGCGAACGGGUGAGUAAUAUAUCGGAACGUGCCCAGUCGUGGGGAUAACGUAGCGAAAGUUACGCUAAUACCGCAUACGAUCUAAGGAUGAAAGCGGGGGAUCGCAAGACCUCGCGCGAUUGGAGCGGCCGAUAUCAGAUUAGGUAGUUGGUGAGGUAAAGGCUCACCAAGCCAACGAUCUGUAGCUGGUCUGAGAGGACGACCAGCCACACUGGAACUGAGACACGGUCCAGACUCCUACGGGAGGCAGCAGUGGGGAAUUUUGGACAAUGGACGCAAGUCUGAUCCAGCCAUUCCGCGUGCAGGAUGAAGGCCCUCGGGUUGUAAACUGCUUUUGUACGGAACGAAAGGUUUCUAUUAAUACUAGGAGCUCAUGACGGUACCGUAAGAAUAAGCACCGGCUAACUACGUGCCAGCAGCCACGGU
rnacentral:rRNA from 1 species